CAGUAGCCACGGUAAUACGAAGGGGGCUAGCGUUGCUCGGAAUUACUGGGCGUAAAGCGCACGUAGGCGGCUUUGUAAGUUAGAGGUGAAAGCCUGGGGCUCAACUCCAGAAUUGCCUUUAAGACUGCAUCGCUUGAACGUCGGAGAGGUGAGUGGAAUUCCGAGUGUAGAGGUGAAAUUCGUAGAUAUUCGGAAGAACACCAGUGGCGGAGGCGGCUCACUGGACGACUGUUGACGCUGAGGUGCGAAAGCGUGGGGAGCAAACAGGAUUAGAUACCCGAGUAGUCCCUGUCUCUUAUAC
rnacentral:rRNA from 1 species